rnacentral:rRNA from 1 species
GACGAACGCUGGCGGCGUGCCUAAUACAUGCAAGUUGAGCGCUGAAGGUUGGUACUUGUACCAACUGGAUGAGCAGCGAACGGGUGCGUAACGCGUGGGGAAUCUGCCUUUGAGCGGGGGACAACAUUUGGAAACGAAUGCUAAUACCGCAUAAAAACUUUAAACACAAGUUUUAAGUUUGAAAGAUGCAAUUGCAUCACUCAAAGAUGAUCCCGCGUUGUAUUAGCUAGUUGGUGAGGUAAUGGCUCACCAAGGCGAUGAUACAUAGCCGACCGGAGAGGGUGAUCGGCCAGAUUGUGACUGAGACACGGCCCACACCCCUACGGGAGGCAGCAGUAGAGAAUCUUCGGCAAUGGGCGGAAGUCUAACAGGACAACGCCGCGUGAGUGAAGAAGGUUCUCGGAUCGUAAAACUCUGGUGGGAGAGAAGAACGGUGGGGAGAGUGGAAAGCCAAUUAGGUGACGGUAUCUACCCAGAAAGGGAGGACUAACUACGU